rnacentral:rRNA from 1 species
AGGAAUAUUGGUCAAUGGACGAGAGUCUGAACCAGCCAAGUAGCGUGAAGGAUGAAGGUCCUACGGAUUGUAAACUUCUUUUAUAUGGGAAUAAAGGGUGCCACGUGUGGCAUUUUGUAUGUACCAUAUGAAUAAGGAUCGGCUAACUCCGUGCCAGCAGCCGCGGUAAUACGGAGGAUCCGAGCGUUAUCCGGAUUUAUUGGGUUUAAAGGGAGCGUAGGUGGACAUGUAAGUCAGUUGUGAAAGUUUGCGGCUCAACCGUAAAAUUGCAGUUGAAACUGCGUGUCUUGAGUACAGUAGAGGUGGGCGGAAUUCGUGGUGUAGCGGUGAAAUGCUUAGAUAUCACGAAGAACUCCGAUUGCGAAGGCAGCUCACUGGACUGCAACUGACACUGAUGCUCGAAAGUGUGGGUAUCAAACAGGAUUAGAUACCCUGGUAGUCCACACAGUAAACGAUGAAUACUCGCUGUUUGCGAUAUACAGUAAGCGGCCAAGCGAAAGCAUUAAGUAUUCCACCUGGGGAGUACGCCGGCAACGGUGAAACUCAAAGGAAUUGACGGGGGCCCGCACAAGCGGAGGAACAUGUGGUUUAAUUCGAUGAUACGCGAGGAACCUUACCCGGGCUUAAAUUGCAAAUGAAUAUGCCGGAAACGGCAUAGCCGCAAGGCAUUUGUGAAGGUGCUGCAUGGUUGUCGUCAGCUCGUGCCGUGAGGUGUCGGCUUAAGUGCCAUAACGAGCGCAACCCUUAUCUUCAGUUACUAACAGGUCAUGCUGAGGACUCUGGAGAGACUGCCGUCGUAAGAUGUGAGGAAGGUGGGGAUGACGUCAAAUCAGCACGGCCCUUACGUCCGGGGCUACACACGUGUUACAAUGGGGGGUACAGAAGGCCGCUACACAGCGAUGUGAUGCCAAUCCCUAAAGCCCCUCUCAGUUCGGAUCGAAGUCUGCAACCCGACUUCGUGAAGCUGGAUUCGCUAGUAAUCGCGCAUCAGCCACGGCGCGGUGAAUACGUUCCCG